rnacentral:rRNA from 1 species
GAUUGCAGGCUGCAACCCGCCUGUAUGAAGUUGGAAUCGCUAGUAAUCGCGGAUCAGCAUGCCGCGGUGAAUACGUUCCCGGGCCUUGUACACACCGCCCGUCACACCAUGAGAGUCGGGAACACCCGAAGUCCGUAGUCUAACCGCAAGGGGGACGCGGCCGAAGGUGGGUUCGAUAAUUGGGGUGAAGUCGUAACAAGGUACC